CACUUGUUGGGGGGGUUGGUUGGAUGGCCAGGGUUGGGGCUUGGAAGGACGCCGGCCGAGAAUUGACCACGCUGGAGCCUAGGCCCCCAGGGAUGCACACCUGCAGCCUCUGUGGGACCCCCGCUCCUAAAUGCGGAAGCCUGGACGUAGAGAGGGGAACUACCAAGGUCACACAGGAGUUAGUGGCUAAGCGUGGGUAAGAACCCGGUCUCCCGGCCUAGGGCUUCUCUGCUGAGCGUCUCCCAGCGACUGGCGGUUUUGUGUUCUGAAGGCGCCCGCCGGGAAAGCCUCCCUUCUGCAUGUAUUACAGUGAAUUGCCAACUUUUACGGAGGGGGUUUCUUGCUACUGUCUCACUGAAAUUCCCUCCACCCACACCCUGCAGCUCUUUAAAGUUCAUCUCAGGUUGAUCUGGGGCCAAGUUCCUAGCCCCGAUGUCCCCUCCCUCCCUUCUGCGAGACCACGAGGCUCCAGUGACUUUUUUGACCCAUAGAUGACCCCCUUCCCCCUACCCCUUUGCUUGAGUGGCCUUGGGGCAGAGGGUAAGUGUGGGAGGCCUGAGCUGCCCCUGGGGGACAAAAACAAAGGGAGUACUCAGCUCCAGGCACCUGAGUAGAGGCUGAGGGGGAGGCAGUGGGAGGGGGGUACUGAGGGCUGCUGCCUUCUGCCUUCAAGUGGGUUUUUAAGACUAAGGGAGCCCCGGGCCCGGUGAUGGAGGAGGCUGCCCUGGAAAGUCGGAGGUGCCUUUCCAGUCCCCCUCUCCUCCCUCUGAGCUCGCCCGUCUCCCUGCCCCCCACCUCCAACAUUGGGGCCAUUCACGGGGCCCCUCACCAGCUGCCCUCCCUUUUCUCACUUCAGCCAGCUCCCUUCCCUGGAAGGAGCCCAAGAGGAGGACCCAGCUGCAGCUCCAGAUGUGGAAGAAGCUCUCUAGGGGAAGGGAGGAAGGGGAGCCUGGCUCCAGGCCUCUUGCAUCACCCUCAGCUGAUGAAACCACAUCGGAGAUUUUGAAAAGCCUGUGGGUUAGGGGAUGAGCAGUGUCUGGGGUGCCACUCUCCUCUCGUUCCCUCCCCCCACCCACCCCACAGAUGACUGCUCCAUCCGUAGCCCCCAAACCAAAGUAAUUUCAAGAGCAAACCCAUUCCCCACCUCCACCCCAUCCUCUGGCAAACAGGCGGCAGCUGCCAGCAGUUUCCCAGGAUGGAGGAGGGGCAGGGGGAUAGGGAAGGUCCUGGGGGGGACCCCACACCUUUCACUAGCAUUUGAAUCUGGAGGACGGGCUCUCUGGGGCCAGCAGUUGCCCCUCCCGGGGCAGGAGGCCAGCAGAGUGUUGAGUCCAUCCAACCAAAGUGAGAGAUGGGCGGAGACUAAUAUGAGAGGAGCUUCUCCAACCAGCAAGGAGCCCGACGUGGAUGUUCUCAUUUCAUGCUCAUGACCUUGUGAGCUAGGCUGUAUUCUUUUUAAUUUUUGCUGAUGGGGAAACUGAGUCUCACCCAGCAUAUAAGUGGCAGAUCCCGGAUUUGAACUUUGCAUCCGGUUCCAGGCUUCCCAGAUCCCUUCCAGUAGCUGUGCAGGGACGGGAGCUGGGCUGGUGGACAGAGCUGGGCUGACACAGGCUUUGACUCCAGGCUUUGUCCUCUUGGAGGCUCGUGCGGUAUUUUGCAAAGCUGCCCUCCUGCCCACAAGACUCUGGGCUUCUCCAGGGCCCAACUCUGGUUUCCUGCCUCCAGGAAGUCCCCUCUGACUUCUGAGAGUAGGUGACCCUUCUGACUCAUAGAUUCACUGCUGGGAAAUGGCGCCAGAAGCGCUGCCCCCACCCCCUCCACAUCCCUCCAGGUCACAGGGGUGUCGAACCAGGAGGAGCUGGGAGGCACGUGUGCUGGAAACUCAAGCCUCCCAGAGGUCAGGGCCUCUGGGCGGCUGCCUCUCGGGCGCUGCUGCUGGAGGCGAGGAAAUCAGACAGGGAUCUGAGUUGGUAGUGAAGAGGCUUAAACUGCAGCCUGGGCAGAUUUAGUUAAGAGAGUCAGCGUGGCGGGGGGGUUGGGGGGGGGGCUGGGAGCGGUGGGCGUCUGGGCAGAUGGGAGCCUGCGGAGUUGGGGGGCCCUCUCUGAGUUGGGAAGCUCCCACGCUGCUGUGUUGAAAAUACUCCAGCAGCAACUGGGGGCAGCCAUCCAAGAGCCCGGAUCCCUCGUUCUCACAGCAACCCUAUAGUAACAAAUCCGCACACCCAAGAGCUGUCCUUAGGCCCUAGAAAUGAUGCAGAGGUGGUUUCUGAACUUGAAUCCGUCCUGUGGUUCCCCUUUAGAAUUAGCACCAGGCACUGGCAUUGGGGGGAACUCUGAGCGCUGACUUCAACUUCUAGGGAUGGGGAGUUCAGGGUUCCUGGCUUCCAGCCCCAGCCCUGCCUGGCACCUGGGCUCAGAACCCCAGACAGGGGCUAUCGGGGUGCAGACACAGGGGCCUCAGCCCAGCGAGGGCUCAGCCUGACUUCCUCUGCUGCAGGAGACAGACUUAGAGGAAACCAGAAUUUGUUAUAAAUAGCAGAGAAGAGAGAGCCCUGCGGAUUACAACUCCCCCCCCAAGGCUUUAGGAAAAAAUAGAGAAAAAGCAACUAUUUUUGGUUUCUAAUGUUAGCAAGGGUUUGAUACACCACAUAUCCUCAAGCACGGGAUCGCUGUCCAUCUUCCUGCUCUGCAGCGCUUUCUCAGAAUGCAGGCUUAGGGCCACCGAGGAUGUGGGUGCAGGCAAGUCGCCACAUCCCAGAAACCUGGAGCCCAAGAGUCUCUGGUUCAACCGCGUCAUUUUCAGGUGCAGAAAUGAGGCCCAGAGAGGAGACAAGACGUGUCCAGAGUCUCACAGUGACUGCUGAGCUGGCCCUAGGCGUCCCCGAGGGGGCAGUUCCCACCACAGCAUGGUAGGACCUCAAGGCUGAACACGAGACGGGGCCACAUGUGAGUUUACGGUUUGCAUGAACCCGAGUCACAGAAGACGGAGCUGGAGGGUGGCGUCUCCGGGUCAGAGAUCUGGGCUCGUUCCAGCUCUGCUACUUGGCGCUGUGGGACCUGGGGCAAGUUAUGUAACUGCCCCUGGCGACGUUCCCCUCAAAAUGAGGACUGCCACACCCGCUCAUCACAGGGCUAUUAUGAGGUCAAAAUGGGGUGACCUGGGUUGGGCCACCAGCUCAAGGCUCCUCUCACAGGAUGGAGAUGAAUUUCCUUCGUUUCCCCCAGACGCUCCAUCCCGUCUGUGCGCCCCUGCCCUCUGACAGCACAGAGGGCGAAUCUGUCACAAGACAUCCUUUGAGGGACAGGAAGUGAGGACACGGGGUGAAGUCUGCCUGCCCGAGGGGUCAGUGCCGAUCUGGGAGGGGACAGCGUCCAGGCACCGCUGGCCUCUCCAUGGAGGGGCCCUUGGAGGCGGGAGGGUCAGAUCACGGAUGGGGGCCACCUGGGAGGCAUCUGAGUUUUAUUUUACUCACCCCGGUGCUCCCCUGUGUCAAGGGUUUCCUCUUUGAAUCCUCACAACAAUCGGAGAUCAAAUACUGUUUGCCCUCAUUUUGCAGAAGAGGAAAUGGGCUCAGAGGUCACUUGGCUGGCGUCGCGGUCAUUUUGCUUUCCACCAAAUAUUUCCGGCCCUCCGCCUUGUGGCACAAGGCGGGCUGGCGUGGCCUCCCUGUCAUGUCAGGGGUGGCCUGUGAUAUCCUUAGCCCAAUGUGGGCAGGACUGGUACCACGUCUCCAUGGAAGCUCCGCACCCUGGCACCUUACGCCAGGUUCAUGUUGUUUCUGGAGCGUAUGUGAGAAAUGAACUUAUUGUUUGAAGCCUCUGAAAUCAUGAGCUGUGGGCUGCCUUGGCAGAGCCAGCCCGCCCUGCCCUGACUGAUGUUCAUCCUGAGUAGAGCUCGGAGCCAGAAUUCCGGUCUGUGCAGGUGCCAAGGGGCUCAGAGCCUUCCAGGAUGCUGCCUGCUUACCUCAGACGCAUGGAGGGCGCUGGGGCUCCUGGGCAACUCAGACCCUUGCAGGCAGGCGGAGGGGACAGCGACCUCUCUGCCUCCACCUGGCCCCAUCCCCAUAAUGCUUGCAGAUUGCUGGGCCCUAGGGACUUAGAAACGAGCACAGUUUCAUGUCCACCUUCUGGCCAGCUGGGCUGUGCCUUGGGGGACCCUCAGAAUCCACUCUGAGAAGCAAUUAGAAAAGUCUGGGAGUUCCCAUUGUGGCUCAAUGAUUGACGAAUCCGACUGGGAACCAUGAGGUCGCGGGUUCGAUCCCUGGCCUUGCUCAGUGGGUUAAGGAUCCGGCGUUGCUGUGAGCUGUGGUGGAGGCUGCAGAUGUGGCUUGGAUCCCGCAUCACUGUGGCUCUGGCAUAGGCUGGCAGCUAUGGCUCCCGUUCGACCCCUAGCCUGGGAACCUCCAUAUGCCUCGGGAGCAGCCCAAGAAAUG
rnacentral:lncRNA from 1 species